rnacentral:rRNA from 1 species
GAUGGCUCAUUAAAUCAGUUAUAAUUUCUUUGAUAGUACCUCUUACUUGGAUAACUGUUGGAAUCCGAGAGCUAAUACAUGCAAAAAAGUCCUGACUUGGGGCAACUCCGGAAGGGAUGUAUUUAUUAGAUGUGAAGCCAAUACGGCGAUGUUUCAUUCAAAUUUCUGCCCUAUCAACUUUUGACGGUAGUGUAGUGGCCUACCGUGGUUUUAACGGGUGACGGAGCAUUAGGGUGCGAUGCCGGAGAGGGAGCCUGAGAAACGGCUACCACGUCUACGGGCGGCAGCAGGCGCGUAAAUUACCCAAUCCUGACUCAGGGAGGUAGUGACAAUAAAUAACAAUGCUGGUCCUCAUAAGGGACUGGUAAUUGGAAUGAGGACGAUUUAAAAUAACUACCGAGUAGCAAUUACAGGGCAAGUCUGGUGCCAGCAGCCGCGGUAAUUCCAGCUGUAAUAGCGUAUUUUAAAGUUGUUGCAGUUAAAACGCUCGUAGUUGGAUUUUAGGACGUGACGGGUUUGGUCCGCGUUUCAGCGAGCACUGACCUGUCCGUCCUCCUUAUGGGAUACUCACCUCUGCGCUUAAUUGAGUAGAGGUAGCAGCCGGGCAACCGGUCGGGUUCCCAUUCUUUUACUUUGAAUAAAUCGUAUUUUGAUCAAAGAAGGCCGGAGUGCCAAUGGUCGAUGCAGCAUGGGAUAAUACAAUAAGCGUCUGUCUUGUUGUGUUGGUUUCUUAAAGAUAGACGAAUGAUUAAGAGGGAUAGUUGGGGGUUUUCGUAUUUAAUUGUCAGAGGUGAAAUUCUUGGAUUUGUUAAAGACGAACUACUGCGAAAGCAUUAACCAAGGAUGUUUUCAUUAAUCAAGAACGAAAGUAGGGGGAUCGAAGACGAUCAGAUACCGUCGUAGUCUCUACCAUAAACGAUGCCGACCAGUUAUUCGGAGACGUUAUUUUUAUGACUCCCCGAGCAGCUUGUGAGAAAUCAGAGUGUUUGGGUUCUGGGGGGAGUAUGGUCGCAAGGCUGAAACUUGAAGAAAUUGACGGAGGGGCACCACCAGGAGUGGAGCCUGCGGCU